UCAUACUAUUAUCUUAAUGAACUGUAUUGGGCCUUAAUGGAUCACAAUGGACAAUAGUAGAUCAUAUAUUUCUUAAUGGACUAUAUUGGGCCUUAAUGUUUGUAUCUUGAAUAUCAUAUUACCAUAAAUUGUUAAUUAUCUUCUCAUAUCUGUGCAGGCUAUGUUUGACAACAGUUUGCCGUUAGAAGCAUCACAAGAACUAGUCACCCAUCGCGGUAGAUUUUUGGGGCGUCAACUGUUAACGCACGACCCUACUACGGUAGCCGCCAUCACUGCAGCACCAUUACGAAAUGUUCGCUUAUGUUUGGGAGUACCUCAAGGAGUGUAGAGUGGACUAUCAAGUUUGGUUGGUUGUGCACCAGUAGGGAAGGAUGUGGCGAGCACAAAAGUUUUUCGAGUAUUUUAUAAACUUUGAGGGUUAUUACAUGCCAUAUCAAUAGACCACAUAUGAACUUGAUUGGGAUUCCUGAAGUUGAUGUUGAUAGGGAUGAGCAUGGUACCCGUUCGGUUCGGUACUGAACCAUACCGGUACCAGUAUUUACCUGAUACCGAAAAACAAGGAAAAUGAGUACCGGUCCAAAUAUACCUAGUACGGUACCGAUGUUGUAACUUAGGCCAAGUGUGUACAUACUUGGUGGUGGAUUUGGAGGACUAUGUACUGCUCGAAGAUUAGAAUCACUCACAUGGCCUGAAGACAAGAAACCAACUGGUGGUAUUAAAUAUAGGUUCGAUUGGUCUUCUGGUGUCAUGGUUAAUGAAGUAUGCUGACAAUAUCGUAAAGGUGAGCAAUCACUAUUUCUAGAAUCUGAGGAGCUGGAAUCAGGCCAAGGCAUGAAAGAAGUGUUAGCAAAACCAGUGAGUUAUUCAUACACGUUUGUCCAUCUAAUAUUUGCAUUGGAGACCAUGUAUUCGGACUUGCUUUUAUUGGGAUGGAGCAGUUCAGAAAGCUCGGAUCUCAUUGAUGCUGGGAGGUUUGUCAUUGAUUUUGCAAUCAAGAUCCGGAGCAUUCCACAAUGGCAAAACGACUAGAUAUAAAGUUGCAACACUUUCAAAUCCAAAAUAAGUAAGUAUAUGGAUUUGAAGAUAACAAUCUGGAAUUAGUUCUUAGUUUAUGUAUAGAGGCAUUCCCUUUGCAACUUUUGUAGAUAGGUUUUGAUUAGAAGUUUACGUCUUUAAUUUGUAUUUAAAUUGAAAACUUAUGUAUGAAUUUUGGUUUAUUAUUGUUAAUAUCAUUUGGUUUUUAGGGUUUU